CCUACGGGUGGCUGCAGUCGAGAAUCAUUCACAAUGGGGGAAACCCUGAUGGUGCGACGCCGCGUGGGGGAAUGAAGGUCUUCGGAUUGUAAACCCCUGUCAUGUGGGAGCAAAUUAAAAAGAUAGUACCACAAGAGGAAGAGACGGCUAACUCUGUGCCAGCAGCCGCGGUAAUACAGAGGUCUCAAGCGUUGUUCGGAAUCACUGGGCGUAAGGCGUGCGUAGGCUGUUUCGUAAGUCGUGUGUGAAAGGCGCGGGCUCAACCGGCGGACGGCACAUGAUACUGCGAGACUAGAGUAAUGGAGGGGGAACCGGAAUUCUCGGUGUAGCAGUGAAAUGCGUAGAUAUCGGGAGGAACACUCGUGGCGAAGGCGGGUUCCUGGACAUUAACUGACGCUGAGGCACGAAGGCCAGGGGAGCGAAAGGGAUUAGAUACCCGAGUAGUC
rnacentral:rRNA from 1 species